UACGAGGGGGGCAAGCGUUGUUCGGAAUUAUUGGGCGUAAAGAGCUCGUAGGCGGUUUGUCGCGUCUGCCGUGAAAGUCCGGGGCUCAACCCCGGAUCUGCGGUGGGUACGGGCAGACUUGAGUGAUGUAGGGGAGACUGGAAUUCCUGGUGUAGCGGUGAAAUGCGCAGAUAUCAGGAGGAACACCGAUGGCGAAGGCAGGUCUCUGGGCAGUAACUGACGCUGAGGAGCGAAAGCAUGGGGAGCGAACAGG
rnacentral:rRNA from 1 species